rnacentral:lncRNA from 1 species
UGGUCUGAUUUGUCUGGAACCUGGAGGAGGAGGCUCCAGCGCUGGUGAACACUGCUGUGACGUAUUUGAAGCCUAGAUUGGCCACAUUUAGAUAUUAAGCCAAAGUUGAGCUAACUCCUCCAACUCCUACUGAGAUCCUGACAGCUAUUCAGAGCCUGAAAAAAAUAGUCAACAGUGCUUACACUGCUAGCUUCUAACAGCUGACAGUUAAGGAAGCUGUGCUGAAUGGUUCAGUGGCCACUGAGGUGUAAAUGUGGUUUUAUAUUGGAGCAAUCAUAAGUAAGCAUUGCACCAUUGC